GUUGAAGUCGCCCUACUAUUGAAGUCGGAGACGAAGUCCGGCUCCCGUAGGAGUCCGGACGGAGUCUACUUGCUGUCGAAGUCGCCCUACUGUUGAAGUUGAGGAUGAAGUCCGACUCUCGUAGGAGUCCAAACGGAGUCUACCUGCGGUCGAAGUCACCCUGCUGUUGAAGUCGAGGAUGAAGUCCGGCUCCCGUAGGAGUCCGGACGGAGUCUACCUG
rnacentral:lncRNA from 1 species